GCCUGGGUGGCUCAGUCAGUUAAGCAUCCGACUUCAGCUCAGAUCAUGAUUUCACGGUUCGAGGGUUUGAGCCCCUCGUCAGGCU
rnacentral:tRNA from 1 species